rnacentral:ncRNA from 1 species
ACGAAAAGGAGUGUUAUCUUAAGCCAAUGAAAUUCUAAUCCUGUAUUAUAUGAAAAAAUGAAGAAAGCUAUCCAAUUCUUGGGUAGAAACUAUUUUUUCGGACGGGAUUCGUAUGUUCAUUUCGCAUGAUAACUCUAGCUAUAGCCUUUUUUGGCGUAGUUUCGCGGAUUCCU